AAAUGAUAGUGAAGAUAAUUAAAAGACGAAGAAGAGUAGGGUGCUGACCCAAUGAAGGUGACGUCCGCUGCCCGGUCCACUGGACACAUCGAAGAGAGGAGCAAGUAGCCCUGUCCUGACAUUGACCCUGAAUUGCCCCUCUUCUUGUAAGAAUCCCAACUCGAGAAGCACUGAGGGCAUCCAUCCCAGUGAGGAUGCAGUUUCUGCCCCUGACGGCGUCACUGACCCUGGCCAUACAGGGUCGCCCAGCGACUCUUCUUUUUUAGCUCCGGUCCCAAUUUUAAUGUUAGAGAGCAGACACACACACCCCCAGCCCUACCCUUGAGAGAUCCCAGGCGGUGGUGAUAGACUUCUCCCCAGCAUCCUUUUCCCCGCGCCUCCUUUGGGAUUUGAGCGCAUGUCGGCUGGGUAGGGUCCCUGAGUCACUUGUGAUAUCUCCACCCAAUCCAGAAAGCGGAGCAGAGUGGAUCCAGUCCCAGAGCUGUGGUACCAUUAAUCCUCCUUCGUUGCAACUCUGCACCAAGGACUCUUAGCAUCAGACUCAUUCCUAAGCCCACACUCCUUUCUGGGUGGGACCGGCCCCACCUUCUUCUGGUGUCCAUACCCCUAGCAUCACCAACCUCAUUCCAUGCCACCACGCGUCAGCCGGGGAACAGGACGAAUGCGUUUGAGGCUCAGGGGUAGUUCUCCCGCUUGUGGGUUGUCCCUGGGCUGCAGCUGCCAGCAUCACCCCAUCAGCAUGGGCCCUGGGGUUGCCUGACGUUCUCAAUCGGUGCCUGCUUCCGUUCUUUCACCACCUCUGAUGCAGGCUGUUUUCAAAACAGGCAUGAAACUCACAAUAGGGAAAUGAUUGUACGUUUACAGACCCUUUUCCCACUCGGGCCUCUUCACACAACCUGUUUGGUAUCCUCUCCCCAGCAUUUAUUUCCCGUCCACCAGGGUCAGAGUUUUGUACGUCCUCAUACUUGUCUGUCCUGACUGGAAGAAGGGCUGAAGAAUGUCAGUGAAUAAAAGAGCUUUUGUCCAA